rnacentral:tRNA from 1 species
GCGGCCGUGGCGAAAUUUGGUAGCACGCGCGGGCCUUAGAAGCCCGUGGGCGAAAGCCCGUGUGGGUUCGAGUCCCACCGGCCGCA